AUACGUAUGUCGCAAGCGUUAUCCGGAAUUAUUGGGCGUAAAGCGAGUCUAGGCGGCUUGUUAAGUCAGAUGUGAAAAUGCGGGGCUCAACUCCGUAUUGCGUUUGAAACUGGCAGGCUAGAGUACUGGAGAGGUGGGCGGAACUACAAGUGUAGAGGUGAAAUUCGUAGAUAUUUGUAGGAAUGCCGAUAGUGAAGACAGCUCACUGGACAGAUACUGACGCUAAAGCUCGAAAGUGUGGGGAGCGAACAGGAUUAGAAACCCCGGUAGUCC
rnacentral:rRNA from 1 species